AAAGCUCAGCGGUAGAACACCUGCUUUGCAUGCAGAAGAUUCUAGGUUCGAUCCCCAGCAUGUCUA
rnacentral:tRNA from 1 species